UCUUAAGCACCUCAAGGGACAGUUCUUCCACCAACUCCCUGGGCAGCCCAUUCCAAUGCUCAGUCACUCUUUCUAUGGAGAAUUUUUCCCUAAUGUCCAGCCUAAAAUAUUUGUCCAGUAUGUACAAAGGAGACAAGGAUUCCUGUACCUUUAGGAUGUUGUCAAACAGCCCUAGCCAGAUGGAGCUUUGACAGACAAAGGUACCCUCUGGCCAAUGUCUGAUUAGAAGCUCUUGGGAGAACGUAGAGAUUCCUAGGAGCUCUAAAAGUAGAACUAACUGGAAAACAAUCUGAAUGCAUGACAACAUGCAGCCAUACAAAGUACAAUACACAAAC